CACGUAGGGCGCAAGCGUUGUCCGGAAUUAUUGGGCGUAAAGAGCUCGUAGGUGGUUUGUUACGUCUGCUGUGAAAACCUAGGGCUUAACCCUGGGCUUGCAGUGGGUACGGGCAGACUAGAGUGUGGUAGGGGAGACUGGAAUUCCUGGUGUAGCGGUGAAAUGCGCAGAUAUCAGGAGGAACACCGAUGGCGAAGGCAGGUCUCUGGGCCACUACUGACGCUGAGAAGCGAAAGCAAGGGGAGCGAACAGG
rnacentral:rRNA from 1 species